AACUAAAUAGGUUUAAAUUUGUUAACCUUUCUUCAUAGCUGAUAUGUUCCAUUCCUUUUAUUAAUUUUGUAGCCCGCCUCUGCACUUUUUCUAGUGCCAUAAUAUCCUUCUUUAGAACAGGUGCCCAAAAUUGCACAGCAUAUUCAAUAUGGGGUCUUACCAGUGAUUUAUAAAGAGGCAAAAUGAUAUUCUCGUCCUGAGAAUGAAUGCCCUUUUUCAUGCAUGACAAUACCUUACUGGCCAUGGC
rnacentral:lncRNA from 1 species